rnacentral:piRNA from 1 species
UGAGAGGUAUCAUUUCCUCAUAGGGGU